rfam:Halarchaeum acidiphilum MH1-52-1 DNA, contig: HAL055.
GUUACAGACGAACCCUAGUCGGAUUGAAGC